GGUGCCAACUAGUAUAAUCAGUAAAAUCAUUGGAUUAUGACAUGCAAUGACGUGGGUUCAAAUCCCACCCAUAGCCAGUGGCUGGUGAAGAAUAACCCUCUCUCUUUUCUUUUUAACACACGAGAAAAAUCUUAAUUUCUGAAGCUUAAUUCAGUCAUUUUGGUAUGGUAUAUUAUAGUAAAUAUUAAUUAGAAUUCAUUCUUUGGGUUGGCUCUAGGAUUUGUCUGAGUCUAGCCAUGCCCAGCUUUAAUCAAAUUCUACCCA
rnacentral:lncRNA from 1 species